GGUCCCAUCCCGAACCCGGAAGUUAAGCCCUUCAGCGCCGAUGGUACUGCAUGGGAGACUGUGUGGGAGAGUAGGACGCCGCCGGAC
rnacentral:rRNA from 1 species